rnacentral:rRNA from 1 species
GCAGUCAAGCGAACGGACGAGAGUGCUUGCACUCUCUGAUGUUAGCGGCGGACGGGUGAGUAACACGUGGGUAACCUACCUAUAAGACCGGGAUAACUUCGGGAAACCGGAGCUAAUACCGGAUAAUAUUUAGCUUCGCAUGAAGCAAUAGUGAAAGACGGUUCUGCUGUCACUUAUAGAUGGACCCGCGGUGUAUUAGCUAGUUGGUGAGGUAACGGCUCACCAAGGCAACGAUACAUAGCCGACCUGAGAGGGUGAUCGGCCACACUGGGACUGAGACACGGCCCAGACUCCUACGGGAGGCAGCAGUAGGGAAUCUUCCGCAAUGGACGAAAGUCUGACGGAGCAACGCCGCGUGAGUGAAGAAGGUUUUCGGAUCGUAAAACUCUGUUGUAAGGGAAGAACAAGUACGUUAGUAACUGAACGUACCUUGACGGUACCUUACCAGAAAGCCACGGCUAACUACGUGCCAGCAGCCGCGGUAAUACGUAGGUGGCAAGCGUUAUCCGGAAUUAUUGGGCGUAAAGCGCGCGUAGGCGGUCUCUUAAGUCUGAUGUGAAAGCCCCCGGCUCAACCGGGGAGGGUCAUUGGAAACUGGGAGACUUGAGUGCAGAAGAGGAGAGUGGAAUUCCAUGUGUAGCGGUGAAAUGCGCAGAGAUAUGGAGGAACACCAGUGGCGAAGGCGGCUCUCUGGUCUGUAACUGACGCUGAGGUGCGAAAGCGUGGGGAUCAAACAGGAUUAGAUACCCUGGUAGUCCACGCCGUAAACGAUGAGUGCUAAGUGUUGGGGGGUUUCCGCCCCUCAGUGCUGCAGCUAACG